rnacentral:rRNA from 1 species
AGAGUUUGAUCCUGGCUCAGGAUGAACGCUAGCGGCAGGCUUAACACAUGCAAGUCGAGGGGCAGCAUAAUGGAUAGCAAUAUCUAUGGUGGCGACCGGCGCACGGGUGCGUAACGCGUAUGCAACCUACCUUUAACAGGGGGAUAACACUGAGAAAUUGGUACUAAUACCCCAUAAUAUCAUAGAAGGCAUCUUUUAUGGUUGAAAAUUCCGAUGGUUAGAGAUGGGCAUGCGUUGUAUUAGCUAGUUGGUGGGGUAACGGCUCACCAAGGCGACGAUACAUAGGGGGACUGAGAGGUUAACCCCCCACACUGGUACUGAGACACGGACCAGACUCCUACGGGAGGCAGCAGUGAGGAAUAUUGGUCAAUGGACGCAAGUCUGAACCAGCCAUGCCGCGUGCAGGAAGACGGCUCUAUGAGUUGUAAACUGCUUUUGUACGAGAGUAAACGCUCUUACGUGUAAGAGCCUGAAAGUAUCGUACGAAUAAGGAUCGGCUAACUCCGUGCCAGCAGCCGCGGUAAUACGGAGGAUCCGAGCGUUAUCCGGAUUUAUUGGGUUUAAAGGGUGCGUAGGCGGUUUGAUAAGUUAGAGGUGAAAUCCCGGGGCUUAACUCCGGAACUGCCUCUAAUACUGUUAGACUAGAGAGUAGUUGCGGUAGGCGGAAUGUAUGGUGUAGCGGUGAAAUGCUUAGAGAUCAUACAGAACACCGAUUGCGAAGGCAGCUUACCAAACUAUAUCUGACGUUGAGGCACGAAAGCGUGGGGAGCAAACAGGAUUAGAUACCCUGGUAGUCCACGCAGUAAACGAUGAUAACUCGUUGUCGGCGAUACACAGUCGGUGACUAAGCGAAAGCGAUAAGUUAUCCACCUGGGGAGUACGUUCGCAAGAAUGAAACUCAAAGGAAUUGACGGGGGCCCGCACAAGCGGAGGAACAUGUG